rnacentral:sRNA from 1 species
ACCUGAAAUAGACGGUACAGUGGGGCGAGAGAGCAA